rnacentral:tRNA from 1 species
CGCGGAGUGGAGCAGUUGGUAGCUCGCCAGGCUCAUAACCUGGAGGUCGUUCGUUCGAGUCGGGCCUCCGCAACUA